rnacentral:lncRNA from 1 species
CCACGCUCCGUACGAGAGAGCGGACCGGCCAAUCAGAAGCUUUGAAUGAGUAUUUUACAAACUGAAGAAUUGGAUUGCUCUAGUUAGCGGCUGGGCUGGAAAGAACCGAGAGUGUGGCCUUAUUGCGGGAAGUGACCCUACUCUUGGACCGUGUGUUGUGGGGGGGGAGAAGAAAGUCGUGACCUUGGUCCUUCCCCACCCCAGGAGUGGUCAUGAUGACUCCCAGUGGGGAUUUGAUGGACACCCAUCUGCAAACUGCCUUUUCCACCCCCAGCAGGAUUCCCGUGUUGGCCCGGAAAUGCCUGCUUCUUUCUGGUGGAGGGUCCCAAGCCUCGGGCCAGGAGAAUCGGGAUCCAAAGGAGAUGAUGCAGAAGAAGAUGUUUGGUGCUCAGCUUCUCCAGAAAGACCUAGUCAGCCCUAGGCAGAAGCUGAAACAGCAGACUGUGGGCCUGAAGGGAAGCCUUCGACCCCGGGCCCCACUGGAGGAAAUCAGCCCAGGCUCUGUGGGGCAAAAUAUGGAGGCUGUUCCUCCGCCUAGGCCAGGUGCUCCUUUAAGGUCUAGAAAUACACCUCUCUUGGCUGUUGACUGCUGCUUAGAUGGAAAAGAGCCAGCCACAGCAAGGUCGACUGGGAAAGGGGCAAGACUGAUGGACCCUGGAGAUUUGGCCACCAUGCUGUCAAAGGUGGAGGUGACUAGCAGUGGUCACAGCUGCCAGACGGGUCUGGCCCAAAGAGUACUGAUCCGGGGGAACCAAAACCAAAAAUGUGCCUCCUAUGGGAUACAGGAUAGCCCUAGCUUCCCUUGGACCUCUUCUCCUCUCAUUCAGUUCACUCCUGGCCAGGUAGGCCAUGCCUCGCCCUUUGGACUGGCUAAUCGUGUACCUGUCACCCAUCCGCCAGCUCUGACCUCCUACUCUGUGGUACGUCAUGUGCCCGUCUUCUCCAAGACUCCUCAGGCCACCCGUGCUCCAACUUCCAGUGUUCAGCAGGAGCAGAUUGUUGUCAGGCAGUUGUAUGAAGAGAGCUGGGCAAAUCUGGAGGAGGAACCUGAGAAACCCUCCCCCGUAACUCCUCUAAACAGAACGUCUUUGGAACUGAGCAAACACAAGGCAGACCCCAGGGAUACGGAUACAGGGGUAGCCACCCCAUCCAACAAGACGUCCCUGGAACAGAGCAGAUAUGAGGUGGGCCCCAAAGAUGUUGGGGUAGCAGCUUCAUCAAACAGGAUGUCCCUGGAGCUGAGCAGGCAUGAGGUAGGUCCCAGGGAUGUAGGGGUAGCAGCCCCAUCCUCCAGGAGGUUGUCACAGGGACCGAAUGGCCUCAUGACUCCUUUGUUUAUCUUAUUUACAGCGCAUCAAUAUCUUGAAGCAGCUAUUACAACAGGAGGUAGAAGGGCUGGCUAAAGUAGAGGAUAGCCACCAGAGUGGCCUGUCUCACCUAAAAAUGACUGAGCCCAAGUUGGCUAUGAUUCCUUGUGCAAUGGAACCCUCAGAGCAUGGUUCUUCACUUCCCAGCCUCCAAGGACCUAUGCAGCACCCCGAUGUUGGGGAACCCAUCUCCACUGGGGGCCCAGGCAUUCAAGAACUCAUACAGCAGCCUAACGUUGGCAUGCACACCACAGCUUCCACCAACCUGACCUUUUUUCAAUGCCCACUCUGUGGCAGCAUUCCUCUCCAUUCUCUUGACUCCCUAAGGAAUCCCAUGGGCACUAUAGGUAAGGAGCCAGAUUUAAGGGGGAGUGGGUAGGCAAAGGCACUUUUCCCUGGGUACUGAGGGAGAAAUCCCUCCUUGAAUAAGGGGGUGCCCUAUCUUUCCUUCUCUGUCUCACUUUGGUCUCAUCCACUUUUCAUGUGGGGCAUAGAAGGGGGAAAAAUCUUAUACCAGAACCUGUGCCAUCUUCCUUCUGACCAACUUUACCUUCAGAUUGAAUAGUCAAAAAAUAUCUCUGCCUACUUCUCUCCAUGCUUAUUUCAUUCAAUCCCCUACCCCCAGGUCCUGCUGUCAUAGCCCUAUGCCGGCAACUAAAUGCAUGGCUGGAAGCCAUUAGACUCCUCUAUGAAGCCUGCCUGGAUGACGAGUGUGCCUUCUAUACCGGGCGAGGCAUUCCUGGUCCCCAGAGGAUCUGUAAGAAUCCCGUAGCCACAUGGCUGGAGAGGCAGGAGGCCAUGGUAAACCUCACUUGGCAGUGGGGGGUCAGGGUGGGGGUGGACUUGUCUGGCUUUGUAGGCCUUUUACCCAGUGAAGACCCGGGUAAAGAAAAGCUGGCCCUGAGUUUUAGGAGGAGCCCAGACUAACAGGAUAUCUUCUCUUUCUAGGAUUUUGUUCCAAUCACUUCUCCAGCUACCUAGGACUAUUCCAAACCUCCCCACACUUCAUUCCUCGUUAUUUAUUAUACAUGGACCUUAUUUUUUUUAAUCUUUCAAUAAAAUGUUAU